CGGCCCCUCUCUAUCCCAGCCCGCCGCGUUCGCCCAAUGCUCCUGAGCGUGUCUCUGGGCGGGUUCGCUGCCAAGCACGGACGCCCCCUCCUCCUGCACACAGGGUGCUGUGCACAGUAGGGCGGAGCGGGCAGCCUGGUCGCGGGAGGACGUGGCGCCUGUCAGAGGCGUCUGUGCACGCUUCUGGAGAUGGGGACGCAGGAAGGUGACAGUCUCCCAGUGUCACUCGACAGGGUGGUCUGCCACGGGGGACUGCUGUUGUGCGCCAGGACGACCAGUGGUUGGGCACCGGCUGGGGCCCUCUCACUUCCUGGGGAGGUCCAGGGGCUGCCUGUAGUUUAGUCACCUAGCUGAGCACUGAGCGCCGAGCGAAACGGCAGUCUUGGAAGCCCACGGUCUCCAAGAGAGUCGCUUGCCCGGUGUGGAA